rnacentral:rRNA from 1 species
GAUGAACGCUGGCGGCGUGCCUAAUACAUGCAAGUCGAGCGAACAGACGAGGAGCUUGCUCCUUCGACGUUAGCGGCGGACGGGUGAGUAACACGUAGGUAACCUACCUAUAAGACUGGGAUAACCUCGGGAAACCGGAGCUAAUACCGGAUAAUAUUUCGAACCGCAUGGUUCGAUAGUGAAAGAUGGCUUUGCUAUCACUUAUAGAUGGACCUGCGCCGUAUUAGCUAGUUGGUAAGGUAACGGCUUACCAAGGCAACGAUACGUAGCCGACCUGAGAGGGUGAUCGGCCACACUGGAACUGAGACACGGUCCAGACUCCUACGGGAGGCAGCAGUAGGGAAUCUUCCGCAAUGGGCGAAAGCCUGACGGAGCAACGCCGCGUGAGUGAUGAAGGUCUUCGGAUCGUAAAACUCUGUUAUUAGGGAAGAACAAACGUGUAAGUAACUGUGCACGUCUUGACGGUACCUAAUCAGAAAGCCACGGCUAACUACGUG